GAUGAAGAACGCAGCGAAAUGCGAUAAGUAAUGUGAAUUGCAGAAUUCAGUGAAUCAUCGAAUCUUUGAACGCACAUUGCGCCCAUUAGUAUUCUAGUGGGCAUGCCUGUUCGAGCGUCAUUUCAACCCUUAAGCCUAGCUUAGUGUUGGGAGACUGCCUAAUACGCAGCUCCUCAAAACCAGUGGCGGAGUCUGUUCGUGCUCUGAGCGUAGUAAUUUUUUAUCUCGCUUCUGCAAGCCGGCCAGACGACAGCCAUAAACCGCACCCUCUCGGGGGGCACUUUUUUAAUGGUUGACCUCGGAUCAGGUAGGAAUACCCGCUGAACUUAAGCAUAUCAAUAAGCGGAGGU
rnacentral:misc_RNA from 1 species